CACUCCUGCGGGAGGCAGCAGUGGGGAAUUUUGGACAAUGGGCGAAAGCCUGAUCCAGCCAUGCCGCGUGCAGGAUGAAGGCCUUCGGGUUGUAAACUGCUUUUGUACGGAACGAAACGGCCUUUUCUAAUAAAGAGGGCUAAUGACGGUACCGUAAGAAUAAGCACCGGCUAACUACGUGCCAGCAGCCGCGGUAAUACGUAGGGUGCAAGCGUUAAUCGGAAUUACUGGGCGUAAAGCGUGCGCAGGCGGUUAUGUAAGACAGUUGUGAAAUCCCCGGGCUCAACCUGGGAACUGCAUCUGUGACUGCAUAGCUAGAGUACGGUAGAGGGGGAUGGAAUUCCGCGUGUAGCAGUGAAAUGCGUAGAUAUGCGGAGGAACACCGAUGGCGAAGGCAAUCCCCUGGACCUGUACUGACGCUCAUGCACGAAAGCGUGGGGAGCAAACAGGAUUAGAAACCCUGGUAGUCCCAUGAU
rnacentral:rRNA from 1 species